AGUGGCGAACGGGUGAGUAAUGCAUCGGAACGUGCCCAGUCGUGGGGGAUAACGCAGCGAAAGCUGUGCUAAUGCCGCAUACGAUCUAUGGAUGAAAGCGGGGGAUCGCAAGACCUCGUGCGAUUGGAGCGGCUGAUAUCAGAUUAGGUUGUUGGUGAGGUAAAAGCUCACCAAGCCGACGAUCUGUAGCUGGUUUGAGAGGACGACCAGCCACACUGGAACUGAGACACGGUCCAGACUCC
rnacentral:rRNA from 1 species